AGAGAGAGCAGCUAUGGAAGAUCAGCAAUAAACUGAAGACUCGAAAGGGAGACAGAUCACUUAUCUGCAACAUGUGCAAAAUGGGCCGUGGUGGCCCUUCCGAUCGUCUCGAGCAACAGCGUUUGUGAGAUUCGUCUCUGUGACGGAGUCUCAGAGUAACCAGGUGAAGCCAGAAGGGCGCUGAAGAUCUGGGGAUGAAACUAGGCUUCUUCCCCUUCUGCCUGCAUCUUUAGCUACAGCAGCAGGACGGGGGCUGCAGUUGGACACAAGCACAGAUGCUCUACAGCAAGGCCCCGUGCAUUGGGUCUGGAGAGUCCUGCCAUCCCCACAAACUGAUACCAGUGCUCUCAGGAAAAUCCCUGCUGUGGUCCAGAACAACGGGCCAUGGACACUUGUUUGUGGAAGGAUAGCCAGGUAUGUGGCUUGGGCAUGCAAUAAAGCUAACAGAUGCAAGACCUGUCCUCAGAUGUCUUGGAAGAAAUGAAAACCUGCCAUUCAUUCACAGGAGCUACGUAUGCAAUACCAUAGUGUCUUCAGAUGCUCCUGCUGCAGCACUUGCAAGGGCCCAUCUCAAAUCUGGGCAAGCACUCACACCUCUUCAGAUUCAUCAGAACUACGCAGAUGCAUAAAAGCUGAGUACAGCUCUUCCCUGUAUGUAAUAGGAAAGUGGACACUGCGCAGCGGGUAGGAAUGCAGCACGUAUGCUAUGUUUGCAGAUGUGUUGAGGCUGUUCUCUCGGAUCUGUGUGAGCACGUGUUUAGAGGAAGUAGCCAGGCUGAGGAAGCUUGGCCGUGCAAUUGCGCCUCGCUUGCCGUCGGGCGCAGUCAGCUCAAGUCAAGGGCCACGUGCCAGCCUGGGACGUUACAGUCGUAACCUUUGCGUCCACGCCGCAUCCCCCAUAUCCUGCUUCUGCAAGACUCCUCAUCGCGCAAGCAACCCCACCCGUGAAAGCGGGGCUAUGGCAAGGAUCCCUGCCUCUACAUGGCCCUGGCGGUCGGCAUCUCCGAAGCGGUUCAGGCUGCUGGACCGAGGCCUCCUCCGCACUGCUGACCUCUCUAAGUGACCCCUUGCUUCCCAAGUGUGCUCAUUCUUUUUUUUCUUUUUUUUUUUCUUUUUUUUUUAGUUUCCAGUUUUGUCACCAGAACCCAAAACUGUAAAGAUGAGGAUCUUCGACCAUUUGCUUACAAACAGAUUAAAUGUACAAACAUGUAUAAAAGUCUUACUAAACAUAGUGCUUUUAAAUGUGUUGCAUCCCUGAUCUGAGAAUACUGUUUGAUCUAUUGACAGACUGUCAAGAAAAAAAAAUGCGCUCAGCUGUAUAAACUAUACCAGCUUUCUUAAUGCGUUUUUAAAAAUUAUUUACGAGUGUGAAGAGGCGGUCUGACCAAACACAGACAGAGCACUGGGCUGGGGCUCAGGGAGAUCUGGUUUUACACCUGGGUCUCUCGCCAGCCUACUGGGUAACUUCUAUGAGGUUGCUCCACGUUUCAUGCCUCAGUUUCACCUUCUGCAAAGCUAAGUUAAUGAUGCUGUCCUUUUUGUAAAGUGCUUUGAGACUCAUGGAGGAAAAGCAUCGUGUAAGAGCCAGGAAUUUAUUGUUAAGGAAGGGCCGUAGCUUUUUCCAUGCUCUCUCUGGGUUUUUCUUCUAAUGCAAUGAAGUAAACACACAACAGUCUGUCCUCUUGGAAAUCAGUUGGAGGUUUGCAUGUGAUUUUAAUGGCGCAAAAGAAUUUCUGGAGUGCAUGACAAAAGUUGUGCUCCCUUCUGCAAGUGCUAAUAGCGAUUUCUUGCUCAUCCUACCCGUGAAACACCUGCACUUCUGUUUGGAAGGUGGAAGGUAAACAAGCAGUAGCUUUGAGAGCAACAAGGUGACAUUUUCUUUAAAUGCAAAUACUGCCUUUAAACAGCUCUUAGAAGACAUUUAUAAUGCAACAGCAUGCAUACUAAUAAUACUAGUACUUGACUGCAUUUCCCCAUAGUAUGAGUUUGCCAUACACAUUUCCCAAAAAGGUGGUGGUUUGCUUUUCUUAUUUCAAAGCAGUUCCUAAGGGGCAGAUUGUAGGUUAUGCAAUUUUGAUGUGUCCUUUGAAAAAAUGUAUAUGUGCUUCUUUUAUUUUUGAUGGUCUUUGUUUUGCUAUUAUCUGUAAGGUGCAUACUUCACUCAUUCGUGUUAGUUUAAAAAAAAAUCUUUGGAGAAAGAUCCAGAAAAGCUCACACUGAAUGCAUUUUUCCCCUUCCAAAGGUUUUGAGAAGAGCCGUUUCCCCCCGACAUAGUAGUCUGAACCAGUUGUUUUCUAUCCUGAACCUUGUAUUGCAUUGUAACACAGUUCUGACUGCAACUUUUAAUAUGCCAAAUCCUGUAGUACUUAUCCCAGCGAAUCUUCUGUUAGAGACUCUUCUGGGCCCUAACUCAAGAUGGAGGAUUUGGUUCUAUAAAUAGUCGCAGCAGCUCAAAGCAUGAGUUGGAAUAGUAAAUACAAAAUCCUUUAGACAAUAUAAAAGCAAUAGAGCUAAUAGUGUAUUGGAUGUUUAGCAUGAAUGCAAAACCAUUCUAAUUGAAAUAUAGUGAUGUAAAGAAAUUUUACUUGGCUAAUCUGGUAAUUUGACUAAAAACUUUGGGUACUGCACUGACCGCCCUCCAGCAGCACCACCACUUUCGGUUCAGUCACUAACCACACUGGGUCCCCAUCAGCAGUGUUUGAACAGAGCCUUUCCCGUAGGGGCUUUUGUAGGGGAGUCCCCAGCAAGUCCCCCGGGGCAGUUUUCUGUUUGCCUACGCA